UGCAAAUGAUUUGACAUUUAGCAUUGUAUCUUGACUGUGUCAGAAAAGGAGGGGGUGGGAUGGUAGAGAAGGCACAAAUAUACAGUGCCUUUGGAAAGUAUUCAGGCCCGUUGACUUUUUCCACAUUUUGUUACUUUACAGCCGUAUUCUUAAAAAAAAAAAAGCAUCUUUAGCAAUCUACACACAAUACCCCACAAUGAUAAACUGAGAACAGGUUUGUAGACAUUUUUGCAAAUGUAUUAAAAAUAAAAAACAGAUUUACAUAAGUAUUCAGACCCUGCUAUAGACUCAAAAUUGAGCUCAGUUGUGCUAUUUUGUUUGUUUUUUUGCAUUUUGUGUGACUUAUUUUUUUACUUGUGUACAUAAUGUUACUGCUACCAUCUCUUAUGACCUGAAAAUAACUUCUGGACAUGAGAACAGUGAAGGAUAUCCUGCUUUCACUGGAACAGGCCCAGAUCCACAAUUUUUUGCAUGAAGAAAAGAAGCAGGAAAAGGGGCCGCAGAUCGGGCAGCCUUCUGAGAAUCCGUAAGCAAGCGAGUAAACUCCAUUUACCAUCCUUUCUUCUUGCUAAUAUGCAAUCAUUGGAAAAUAAUAUUGAUAACCUACGAUUAAGAUUAUCCUUUCAACGGGAUAUAAAAAACUAACAUCUUAUGUUUCACCGAGAUGUUGCUGAACGAUGAUAUGGACAGUAUUGAGCUAGCGGGAUUGUCCCUGAACUGGCUGAACAGAGAUGCUACCUCUGGUUUUUCCAAUGGCAGAGACUGGGAGACUAGUCAGGAUCGAGGGAAAGAUUAACGGAGCAAAGUACAGAGAGAUCCUUAAUGAAAGCCUAAUCCAGAGCCCUGAGGACCUCAAGACUGGGGCAAAGGUUCACCUUCCAACAGAACAACGACCCUAAGCACACAGCCAAGGCAACCGAGGAGGGGCUUCAGGACAAGUCUCUAAAUGUCCUUGAGUGGCCCAGCCAGAGCCAAGAUUUGAACCCGAUUGAAUAUCUCUGGAGAGACGUGUAAAUUGAGAGGAUCUGCAGAGAACAAUGGGAGAAACUCCCCAAAUACAGGUGUGCCAAGCUUGUAGCGUCAUACCCAAGAAGACUCAAGGCUGUAAUCGCUGCCAAAGGUGCUUCAACAAAGUACUGAGUUAAGGGUCUGAACACCUACGUAGAUGUGAUAUUUCAGGUGUUUUAUUAUUAAUACAUUUGCAAAAAUUCCUACAAAUCUGUUUGCUUUGUCAUUAGGGGCUAUUGUGUGUAGAUUAAAGGACAAACACUUAUUUAAUACAUUUUAGAAUAAGGCUGUAACCUAACAAUGUUGAAAAAGUGAAGGGGUCUGAAUACUUUCCGAAGGCACUGUAUAAGCAAAAUUGAAAUUAGGAUUACACUGAAUGUAAUCUAAGGAUUAGUUAAAUUACCCAGCUGCCUGAUCAAUCCCUCAACCCAAUGUGCUGGGUUGUUUUAACCCAGCUAUAUAGACUAAUUUACCAGCAGCUGGGUCAAGCGCUUAACCCAAGGGGCAUGGUGUUUGACCAAUAUUGACAAAAUAAUAUGAAUUGCCGUAUUAGGCAAAACUCAAUUUCUACCUUUUUAAGAUGCUAAAAUAAAAAAAUUAAAUAUCCUGUUUUUGUUUUUUCGGGUCGUUUCAGUGCAUGCAUUCAACAACCUUUGGAUGAAGGACUUCCACAGGGCCGCCAUCUCCAAAGUUAAUUCAAAAAGGCUAUAAUUCUGAACUAAGAUUGAUUUAGUUUUUGUUUACCAUUUUGUUAAUCUUCUAAACUUUGAUUGGUAGAAAUAUAUUGCUCAGUAAUAAUUUGGCUCAUCUAAACAUCCUAAGGUCAACAGCCGCAUAGCAUAGUAUUCACAUUUCUCUCAUGUAAAUUUCCGAGCUACAUUCACUCUGCCAAAACAGUACAGACACUCACCCUUCUCGAUAACUUGAAACAGUCUAACCAGAUCAAGUCAGUUAAGAACAAAUUCAUAUUUUCAAUGACAGGCUAGGAACAGUUAGUUAACUGCCUUAUUCAGGUGCAGAACAGAUUUGUAAUUUUUUUACCUUAACUCGGGGAUUUGUUCUUGCAACAUUUCUGUUACUAGUCCUAUGCUCAAACCACAAGGCUACCUGCCGCCCCGAUAGCCUAUCUCUGGGGCUAGUUGUGAGCUGUCAAUAAAUUACAAAUUGUAAAGAGGACAAUAUUUUCAUUUUGCACAUUCUUUAGUUCUCAUUAAAUGCUUUCAAUAUUUAAUUAUACAUUUCUACAAUUUAGUCAGUUUGUCAUUGAAAUGUGAAGCUAUUGACAAUUUACUGAUGGUCCCUCCCUAGCCCCACAGCAAGAAAUAAUUUUUAGAGGCAGAUGCGCUUUAAAUGUAUUUAUAUUUUUCACAUAGAGGACAGAUACUGGCUGUCAUGUCAGUCUCAUAUCUAAAAUGUGUAGUAUUGACAUGAUUGUAUGGAUUCACACAUCACUGUCUAUUUGGCACACAAUGAGAAAAGAUCAAACGAUUACAACCAGAUUUUUAUUGGUUUGUUUAUACCAAUCAUGACAUCUAUAAACAAAGAAUACAAGAACUGUACACUUGUACUUGACACCUAAAACCCACAUGAAUAUUGCUGGUUUGUGUAUUUGACAGCUCAAGUGGAUGUACAGUUUCUCAGCAUCAAAAGGAACCAUAGUCAACAGUAUGUUUCACACUUAUGUCAUUAGCUUGGCUAAGAACAAAGAAUUCCAUUUACAAUGUACCAUUACACACUGCAUAUAGAAAGUUUGAAAACCCUUUUAAACAGCAGCUGUACACGUUUAUUGCAAUGCUAUCACAGAACAGAGACAAAACCAAUUACACGCAAUGCACAGGCCUGAUAGGGAGGAACUCCAGUGCUAGGGAAUAGGUUUAUUAAGCAGAAUGGUUAAGGGGGAAAAAAAAUGGCAUGAGUACAAUAGUUAACAUACGGAACACAGCUUACAACAUUCUAAAACAUUUCUCAUUAUAAACAAUAAAACUGUGUUGCCCCUUGAGGAAUUCAUCCCCACAAUACAGGUUACAAAUACCAUCCCUCAUAUAGCCUAUGGAAUGUUAGUCUCUCAGGCAAGCUCUCCGUUUUGACCGGAUCCUGUAAACAACGUGCUUGCAUGUUCUUGAUGCAGCAACCUGGCCCAUUCCCACCCCACGGCAAAAAUAAAAA